rnacentral:rRNA from 1 species
CUAUACAUGCAAGUCGAGCGGACUGAUGGGAGCUUGCUCCCAUCAGUUAGCGGCGGACGGGUGAGUAACACGUGGGUAACCUGCCUGUAAGACUGGGAUAACUCCGGGAAACCGGGGCUAAUACCGGAUAACUCAUUUCCUCGCAUGAGGAAAUGUUGAAAGAUGGCUUCUUGCUAUCACUUACAGAUGGACCCGCGGCGCAUUAGCUAGUUGGUGAGGUAACGGCUCACCAAGGCGACGAUGCGUAGCCGACCUGAGAGGGUGAUCGGCCACACUGGGACUGAGACACGGCCCAGACUCCUACGGGAGGCAGCAGUAGGGAAUCUUCCGCAAUGGACGAAAGUCUGACGGAGCAACGCCGCGUGAGUGAUGAAGGUUUUCGGAUCGUAAAGCUCUGUUGUUAGGGAAGAACAAGUACCGUUCGAAUAGGGCGGUACCUUGACGGUACCUAACCAGAAAGCCACGGCUAACUACGUGCCAGCAGCCGCGGUAAUACGUAGGUGGCAAGCGUUGUCCGGAAUUAUUGGGCGUAAAGCGCGCGCAGGUGGUUCCUUAAGUCUGAUGUGAAAGCCCACGGCUCAACCGUGGAGGGUCAUUGGAAACUGGGGAACUUGAGUGCAGAAGAGGAAAGUGGAAUUCCAAGUGUAGCGGUGAAAUGCGUAGAUAUUUGGAGGAACACCAGUGGCGAAGGCGACUUUCUGGUCUGUAACUGACACUGAGGCGCGAAAGCGUGGGGAGCAAACAG